rfam:Felis catus isolate Cinnamon breed Abyssinian chromosome X, whole genome shotgun sequence.
GCCUGGGUGGCUCAGUCGGUUGAGCAUCCGACUUCAGCUCAGGUCCUGAUCUCACAGUUCGCGGGUUCAAGCCCCGCGUCGGGCU